rnacentral:tRNA from 1 species
CCGGCCGCGGGCCGGUCGGCCAGCGCCGGGUCGGUCGUCGGCCGAUCAGCCUGUGACAGGCGGUCGGUCGUCGCCCGGUCGGCCGCCGGGCGGUCGGCC